rnacentral:rRNA from 1 species
GACGAACGCUGGCGGCGUGCCUAAUACAUGCAAGUAGAACGCAAAGUUUAUACCGUAGCUUGCUACACCAUAGACUGUGAGUUGCGAACGGGUGAGUAACGCGUCGGUAACCUGCCUGGUAGCGGGGGAUAACUAUUGGAAACGAUAGCUAAUACCGCAUACUAUUGAUUAUUGCAUGAUAAUUAAUUGAAAGGUGCAAUUGCACCACUACCAGAUGGACCUGCGUUGGAUUAGCUAGUAGGUGAGGUAACGGCGCACCUAGGCGACGAUACAUAGCCGACCUGAGAUGGUGAUCGGCCACACUGGGACUGUGACACGGCCCAGACUCCUACGGGAGGCAGCAGUAGGGAAUCUUCGGCAAUGGACGAAAGUCUGACCGAGCAACGCCGCGGGAGUGAAGAAGGUGUUCGGAUCGUAAAGCUCUGUUGUAAGAGAAGAACGGGUGUGAGAGUGGAAAGUUCACACUGUGACGGUAACUUACCAGAAAGGGACGGCUAACUACGUG